rnacentral:tRNA from 1 species
GGGAGCGAGGACAGCCAGGAUAGGACAUCGGGCUCCGGUGUAUUUCGCACGGGGAGACCCGAAGGUCGUGGGUUCAAAUCCCACCGGUCCCG